rnacentral:tRNA from 1 species
UAGGAUGGCCGAGUGUUAAGCGGCGGAUUGUAAAUCCGUAGACGGGGUGUAAAGUCCCCUCUUGC